CCAGAGGGGUGGUGGCUGCGAGGCUGGGGGGGUGGGGGGAAAUGAAUGAAAAACCCCUUUUAUUUCUAUUUGAUUUGUUGUUAUUGUAUCCUAUGCCAUUCAGCCAGCGCGGGAUCUCGAUCCACAACCAGGCCAGUCCUGAAAACAAAACCCCUCGGACCUCGCCGCGCCGUCAGUCAGGGAUUUGCAGCUGACAGAAAAACACCAGACUUGUGCCACGCAGGAGGAGAAUGGGUCUCCUGCUCGCUCCUGCUAGACGACCUCGGCUCGGAGUGCGAGGGAGUAUAUGUCCCGAGGAGUUGCCUUUUAAAAAGCUCCAGCCCUUUAUCCUCCAACAGGGUGAAAAUUUGAGAAGAAGCCGAAAAAGGUCCCGUUGCGCGUAAAUCCAGCGAGUGAAGUCCUACGGUGAACGCAGGCUGCGGGUCUCCGCUCCUCCGUGGAAUCUCUGCUGUAAACAAGAGUCGGCUUCUCUCACGCAGGAACACAUAGUGGUAAGGAUAAGGUGGCCGGCGGGAGGGCGCGAAAACCCGGACUGGAUCCACACCCGAGACUGGGUGGGGGGAAAAAACAAAACAAAAACAAGAUGCCUCGAACGAGACGCGCUAAAGGAGCGCAUGCACCCCCUGCUGGAGGCCUCUGAGUAUGACAAGGUUUAAAACACGAUUGGAAUCUAUUGAAGGUUUAUGUAGGAAACUACUGGACCAAUAACCACACAACUUGGUAGAAGGAAGCUGCAUGGAUCAGAGAUGAAGUCUAGUGAAUGAAUCUGGAAUCUUCUCUUAAAAAAACAUUUCCCCCCCAUAAGAGGAAGAGGCUCUUCCUGCACUUCUCCUUCUCCCUCGUUCUCCUUAAAAAAGCCCAGAAAAUCCCAGGACCGAGGAAUGACCUGGCGAGAGAAGCCGAGCUCCAGCAGCCAGGACACGCUAACAACACUUAUCAAAGAAGAAAGCAUUGCCAGGGUUCUGAAGGGAAAGUGCUGUUUUAUAACUCCAUCUUCCUCCGUCCAGCCGGGAUACAGGAGAACAGGAGGGAUCCCGAGUACUGGUUCUCCACCCACCACACGCAGCAGCAUCCCAAC